rnacentral:rRNA from 1 species
GAUGAACGCUAGCGGCAGGCCUAAUACAUGCAAGUUGAACGAGAUUGGAGGAGCUUGCUCUUCCAUGAAAGUGGCGCACGGGUGCGUAACGCGUAUGCAACCUACCUUCUUCAGGGGGAUAGCCUCUCGAAAGAGAGAUUAACACCGCAUAACAUUAUUUAAUCGCAUCAUUGAAUAAUCAAAUAUUUAUAGGAAGAAGAUGGGCAUGCGUGACAUUAGUUAGUUGGCGGGGUAACGGCCCACCAAGACUACGAUGUCUAGGGGAUCUGAGAGGAUGACCCCCACACU